AUGAUUUAUACCGUCUCUAUAAACUUGAUCGAUUUUGCCCAUUAUUAAAAAGUAAAAGCGUAAAUAUAAAAACAUUUACCCUGGAUACUCAUAAAUACUGUGAACUGUUGUGUGUUGGUUUUGUUAUUUAUUUAAAUUUCAUUUUGUAUAAAAGUUAAGUUGCUUUGGUUGUGUAGGAGCUCGCGGGCGCGCGCUUUCCGCUUCCGGUGUUAUUACCGCUAAGUGUGUAAAAGCCGCGCCCCUCAAUUGCACGAGCGGCCUGAUUAACCGUGGUUUCAGGAAGAUCAGCUGCUUUAACCGCAGUUUAUCACUCAGCACAUGCGAGGAACAAAUCCCGGCCGAGCCCCCAGUGUUACUCUCAGCGCUUCAGCAACUCCCAGCGGCAGAGGAACAACUCGUUAGUUCAUGUUCGGGCAAAUGAUGAGAGGGACAAAGUUCUUCCGAAGCAUGCCGUUUUACUUCUUUAGGCAAAUAAAAGUUGUCAGGGUUACAGUGCACAAUAACUCCCGGGUGGCUUAACUGAAAUAAACUAAAGGAAAAGCAAAGCAGAAACUUUUUCUCCCCGUUUUCUCCCCCGAACUGCACAGCCAACACCAGCACACUUCUUCCGGACUACAUUACCCAUCAUGCACUUCGCUCAGGACUACAACACCCACAGUUAGUGAUCCGGUGAAAGUGAAAGUGCAUUUAGUGAAGAAAGGAAGCAAAUCAUUGGCAGGAGAAAAACACAGUUUACAGGUGUAAUCUGUAGGAGGAGACAUGACCUCCAAAAUGAAUGUGUCUGUGAAACAGGACUUAAAGAAAGAUAAGAGUCUGAUUCAGGGUGAAAGAUCAGACUCACCUGAACCCAGCUGUGUGUCCAUGAAGAGUGACCAAUCAAUGCGUAUACCAUUACACUUUAGCGACACAGACUGUGCUACUGA